UCUACGGGAGGCAGCAGUGGGGAAUAUUGCGCAAUGGGCGAAAGCCUGAUGCAGCAACGCCGCGUGAGUGAAGAAGGUUUUCGGAUUGUAAAGCUCUGUCUUUGGGGACGAUAAUGACGGUACCUGAGGAGGAAGCCACGGCUAACUACGUGCCAGCAGCCGCGGUAAUA
rnacentral:rRNA from 1 species